CAAACAACUAACAGUCUGAAAUGACAGAGUCGGGGAGCCAUAUAAUGGGAUUAGACCGGUGAACAAUGCCUACAUUGUUAAUGAAAAGACAGAUAAUAUCAUAUUGUUCAUCUGGUAGGGAUCAAACUGUGUUGCCUUCAUCACCUUUCACCAUGUAUAUCUCCCCAGCGGCAUCUCACCUGCCAAACGAGUUUAAGUAGGACAAGAAAUGACUCUAUUUCAGCACACAGGCUCUCUGAAAAAAGUUAUGACAUUUUCAAAGGCGU